rnacentral:rRNA from 1 species
CCUACGGGAGGCAGCAGUGGGGAAUAUUGCACAAUGGGCGGAAGCCUGAUGCAGCGACGCCGCGUGGGGGAUGACGGCCUUCGGGUUGUAAACUCCUUUCACCAUCGACGAAGGUUUUCUGACGGUAGAUGGAGAAGAAGCACCGGCUAACUACGUGC